rnacentral:rRNA from 1 species
UAAAAUAAUUAAGGGCACACAGGGAAUGCCUAGGUAGUAAGAGCCGAUGAAGGACGUGGUAAGCUGCGAUAAGCUUGGGUUAGCUGCAAACGAGCGCCAACCCCAAGAUUUCCGAAUGGAGCAAUCUGCUAAGAUGGAGUCUUAGCACGAAAGAGGGUACCGAGUGAACUGAAACAUCUAAGUAACUCGAGGAAAAGAAAGUAAAAACGAUUCCCCAAGUAGCGGCGAGCGAACGGGGAUGAGCCUAAACCAUAUAAGUGUCAAGGAUACAGCCGUUGCUUAUAUGGGGUUGUGGGAAGAACGUUUGAAGAACUGUAAGAUAUUCAACAUAUCUAAUGACUGAACUGGAACUAGUUGGAAAGCUAGAUCGUAGAAGGUGAUAAUCCUGUACAGGUAAACUCAUUAGAAUGUAUGUUCUCUCCCAAGUAACAUGGAACACGAGGAAUUCUGUGUGAAUCUGCGAGGACCAUAUCUCGUAAGGCUAAAUACUCUUACUAACCGAUAGCGUAUAGUACCGUGAGGGAAAGGUGAAAAGAACCCCGGGAGGGGAGUGAAAUAGAACCUGAAACCGUAUGUCUACAAGCAGUCGAAGCACCUUAAGAGUGCGACGGCGUGCCUAUUGAAGAAUGAACCGGCGAGUUACAUUAUGUUGCGAGGUUAAGUGGGAGACACGGAGCCGAAGCGAAAGCGAGUCUUAAUAGGGCGACUAGUAACAUGGUGUAGACCCGAAACCGCAGUGAUCUAUCCAUGGUCAGGUUGAAGCGCAGGUAAAAAUGCGUGGAGGACCGAACCCGUGAGUGUUGAAAAACUUUGGGAUGAACCGUGGAUAGGGGUGAAAUGCCAAUCGAACGCGGAGAUAGCUGGUACUCCCCGAAAUAGCUUUAGGGCUAGCCUCAGGGAAGAUUAUAGACGGUAGAGCACUGAUCUGGCAAGGGGGCGUAAAGCCUACCGACCCUAGUCAAACUUCGAAUGGCUAUAAUUAAGACCCUGGGAGUCAGACUGCGAGUGAUAAGACCCGUAGUCAAGAGGGAAACAGCCCAGACCGCCGACUAAGGUCCCCAAUGCUGUACUAAGUGGAAAAGGAUGUAAGACUUCAUAAACAACCAGGAUGUUGGCUUAGAAGCAGCCACCAUUAAAAGAGUGCGUAAUAGCUCACUGGUCGAGAGGCCUUGCGCCGAAGAUGUCCGGGGCUCAAGUACAGAACCGAAGUCGCGGCAGGAUUAUAUAAUUCUGGGUAGGGGAGCGUUGUAUAUCCGACUGAAGGUGUACCGGAAGGAGCGCUGGAGGAUAUACAAGAGAGAAUGCCGGUAUGAGUAGCGAAAAGAACAGUGAGAAUCUGUUCCACCGAAAGCCUAAGGUUUCCUGAGCAACGCUCGUCGACUCAGGGUAAGUCGGGACCUAAGCCGAGGCAAAAAGCAUAGGCGAUGGACAACAGGUUAAUAUUCCUGUACCGCUUCAAAUCGUUUGAGCAAUGGAGUGACACAGAAGGUAGCUUGAGCACGCGAAUGGAUGUGCGUGUCGAAGGUGGUAGGUUGCAGUAUAGGCAAAUCCGUACUGUAUAAGACCGAGAACUGAUAGAUAGACGAUACUUCGGUAAAGUCAAAUUCAAGUGAGCCAUGCUGUCGAGAAAAGCUUCUAGUGAGAGAUGAGGCGCCCGUACCGAAACCGACACAGGUAGGCGGGGAGAGAAUCCUAAGGUGCGCGGGACAACCCUCGUUAAGGAACUCGGCAAAUUGUAUCCGUAACUUAGGGAUAAGGAUAGCCGGAGGAUGUGAAGGGAUUUACUUCUGGAGCGUCAGCCGGUGGCACAAGAGAGGCCCAAGCGACUGUUUAGCACAAACACAGGUGCCUGCAAAAGAGAAAUCUGACGUAUAGGUGCUGACACCUGCCCGGUGCUGGAAGGUUAAGAGGAGGGCUUAGAGGCAACUCGAAGGCUUGAAUUGAAGCCCCAGUAAACGGCGGCCGUAACUAUAACGGUCCUAAGGUAGCGAAAUUCCUUGUCGGGUAAG